GAUGAACGCUGGCGGCGUGCUUAAUACAUGCAAGUCGAGCGAACAGACGCGGAGCUUGCUCCUUUCACGUUAGCGGCGCACGGGUGAGUAACACGUGGAUCACCUACCUAUCAGUCUGGUAUCACUUCGGGAAACCGGCGCUUAUACCGGAUAAUAUCUUGAUCCGCGUGGUUCAAUAGUGAAAGACGGCUUUGCUGUCACUUAUAGCGGCAUCCGCGCUGCAUUAGCUAGUUGGUACGGUAACGGCUUACGACGGCAACCAUGCGUAGCCGACCUGAUAGGGGGGUCGCCCGCACGGGAACUGAGACGCGGUCCAGACUCCUACGGGAGGCAGCAGUAGGGAAUCUUCCGCAGUGGGCGAGAGCAUGACGGAGCAACGCGGAGUGAGUGAUGAAGGUCUUCGGAUCGGAAUACUCUGUUAUGAGGGAUAAACAAAUGUGUAAGGAACUAUGCACGGCGUGACGGUACCGGGUCAGGAAGCCACGGCUAACUACGUG
rnacentral:rRNA from 1 species